CUAUCUCCAACGGGCUGCUCUUUCUGCAAGCAGUGGACAAAGCAGGCGGCUGCCAAACAACAUUAGAAGGGAUCAUUGUACAACUUUAAUCAAGCAUAUUCUCUAAUUGAUCGGCAACAUAACAACGAAUAGACGUUAACCGGGACAAUGUUAAGUGAGGAGUUACUGUACAGCAUACUGACUCAGACUCAAGAGUCCCACAGUUAUUGUGACUGAAUCACAAUGGAUGAAGCAGGGAAGGUUGAGUAGUUAGUUUACAAUAUUUUUAAAAUUGUUAUAGCAUUAGGGAGCAGAGGAAAGGGUGGCUGUAGCAUUUUGUGACUUGAAGGAUUUGUGCUUCAUACUACCUAUGGGUUUGCUUAAAACAAUAUUAGACUUUUUGUAGCCCCUUAAAGUCAAGUCAUACAGGCUAAGAAAUUCAGACAGAAGGCUGAAACUUCAUUUUAAAACCAACUAUUAAAAGGCACCAGAAAGCUCCCAGGCAGCAGAGGCAGUAACACCAGCAGGCAGCCCAGCAACCAGGCAGGAUGGACCCCUCAGGUGGUAUCAGGAACAGCAGGGGUGGGGUCCCUCACUCCCUCUCUGGGAAACAGGUCCCACCCCCAAGGGGGGGCAACUGGCCAGCAAGGGAGCAGAUGAGCAAGGCCUGGACCAGAGGGAAGCUGGAGUAAGCCCAGCAGCAGCAGCACCACCUAGCCAGCAUCCUGCUCACAACAGCAACUCCACACCCACACCCACACCCACACCAGGUGGCAGUAACAGGAAAAGGUAAAAAGGAAACAACGCAGAUGUGGAAGAAGGAUGAUCUAGUGGUUCAGAACUAAAUCUUGAAGUCCGAGUUCUUUUCCAACCUCUACUACAGAGUUACUUUGAAAUUUGGGGCAAGUCACACAUUGUCUAGAUGUUCCUAUCUUUAUGGUGGGUAUAACAUAUAUCUACACCACAUAGAUGUUGUGAACUUUAAUUCACCUACAUAUUGGUGAAGCAAUUUGAAGUGCUAGGAUGGAAUGUCAUAUUGCUACACAAGUGGAUAAAGGAUCAAGUUUGCCCAGGGUCGCGAUAUCUCUGAAUGAUAGUUUUACCCUAACUGUGCUCUAACUGGAGUGUUGAGAUGUGCAUAGGAGUAGUUUAUCUCGCUGUUGCAAUCACUAUCACAUGUGUCAAAAUGGGAUUCAAGUCUUUUUCUGGCCAAAAAAUAUCUUCCAGUGAAGCAGUACAUGUGUCUAAUUGCCUUCUGGGCAAGUUAUACAGCUUCUUAAACUGAAGUUGCCAAGAGACUGAAGGAAACCUAAAUGGAAGAUAACAGCCUUCUUACUACUUCCACUGGUCUCUUUGAACUUGUAAUAGCUUCAGAUGUCAUCAAUUUAUCAAUGAUAUUCCCUUUUUUGUGGGCGGGGGUUCUUUCCAUUUUGGAGAUAUGUCACUUAUUUUCCUUCCCGUGCUUGUGAAAAUUAAUAUUUUAAAAGGAAAAAAUACCUACUAAUCACAGUAAAGUCACUCUGAUUGCAAGAACUGACAUAUAAACUAUGGCUGCCUAUAAACUUUCUUUGAUC